UGCCGAAACACCCCGCCCAUUUAGUUGGGCACUAGGGUGUCGUGCUGGGUGGUUCCCAGUGCCUGAUGAGGCAGCCAAUA
rnacentral:hammerhead_ribozyme from 1 species